GGGGUUGUAGCUCAGAUGGUAGAGCGCGCGCUUAGCAUGCGCGAGGUAGAGGGAUCGAUACCCUCCAACUCCA
rnacentral:tRNA from 1 species